ACGGGUCUCCUUCAGUGCUUUCUGAAGACCUCAUUUCACUUUGCCUAUUCUCAUAUAGAUUAACUGGUGCCAUAAAUGUCUCACAGAUAAAGCCCUACUAUGACUUUCCAUCAGCUGUGAACAUGAGAGCUGUAGUCUUCCUUCUUGGUGCAUCUAAAUAGCCCCAAAACAGCUGAAGGAAAUGGCAAUUCCAAGUCAUCUUCAAGCUAUGGUCCAGGGCAGCUGCUCUUUGGUAAGGCAGAGAAACAUGGUCAAAGAAAUCACUGCAGCUUUUUCUCUUAAAGGUCAUAGUACAUGUUUUCAUGGAUGCAAGCACUGGGUUU